rnacentral:lncRNA from 1 species
UAUACACUUAAACUGAUGUGUAGGCGAAGUGAAAAGUUGAUAGGAUAAAUCAUGGAUUUAAUGUAGAAUAUUGGCGUACCAAACUAAUAAUAAAACUCUCUUUAUUACACACAAAAAAAUAACUCUCAUUCACAUACACCCAUAAGACUACAAACCUCACACACUCACUUCACUACUUCACUACACCUCACAACACUUCCUCACCUCACACCACCACUCACACCCUUCACUAUAUCUCACUCUUCACUCUCACACUCUUGCACUCUCUCACUCUUGCACUCUCUCCAAGCACACAUGGUGUGGGAGCCUCACAACUAUUUAUAGGCUCCCUCCCAACCUACCUACAUAAGCACUCUAGAAUAUUCUAGAGUACUUACUUCUAGAACUCACUAAAGUGCUCUAUUAGCAAGUAGAGAGCACUUUGUUCCUAGAGCUUUCUAGAAUGCUCCAUUAGCUAGUAGAGAAUUGAAAAGGGAUAGGGCAUUCUAGAAUGUUCUAUUAAAGAGAGAGAGAGAGUUGCCUCUUUCAAUACUCCCCCUCAACUCUAACUCUCUCUUAAUGCUACUGUGCUGAGCAUUCCUAAUCGCUUUCGAAACUCUUCAAAUUUUGUGGUGCUUAGUCCUUUGGUGAAUAUGUCGACUACUUGCUCUUAUGUUUUGAUUCUGUUUCAGUGCUUGGAUCCUUUCGUCCAUUGUGUUCCUCCACUUCUUGCUUGUGACUGCUUCUUCGUAGAAGGCCAGCUCUUUUGGAGUCUCUUCUUUUUCGGUGAUAGCAACAUUUGCACACUUAGUAUUGGGCUUUCUUUGCCUAAAAGACCUUCGUAACUGUGUACCUAUAUCUUCAAGUUGGCUUGGUCGAUCUUCUUCUGGGGUUUGACAAUGUACGCCAGUUCGCCAGGGUUCUGGAGACUUCUGGAGUUGCUGCUCAUCACCGGUUGGCUCCAUUGAAGGUUGACCGCUUUCUUCUUGCUCUGACACGGCCUUUUCUUCUUCUUGUUCUUGUUCUCCAAGCUUUCCUUGUAGUUUGAUUUUUAUCUCUUUAGAAUCUGGUAGUAUCACUUCUUGUGAGGACCACCAAGACGACGCUUCAUCGAACACGACAUUUCUCGACGUGUAACAACGACCGGUUGUUAGGUCACAGCAUUUCCACCCUUUUCUUUCACUAUCGUACCCGACGAAGAUACAUCGUAUCGCCUUCUUGUCGAAUUUACUUCGAAGAUGGUCCGGCACGAACACAUAGCACACAUAUCCAAAGACUCGAAAAUGACUUACUGUGGGUUUGAUUUUCCACAGUACUUGAUAGGGUGAGAUGAAUCCUAACUUCUGUUGCGGCAGCCGGUUGAUGACAUGUGCUGCUGUUCUCAUACAUUCUGCCCAAAAUCUGCCUGGCACAUUCUUUGCAUGCAGCAUGCUUCGGCUAGUUUCUGCUAGAUGUCUAUUCUUUCUCUCAGCUAUACCAUUUUGUUGCGGAGUGCGAGGACAUGUAAGCUGUCUUCUUAUUUUGCACUCUCGCAAAUAAGCUGAGAACUCUGUUGAGGUAUAUUCACCUCCAUUAUCCAUGCGCAGGCAUCGUAUUUUAUGGCCGGUUUGGCUUUCAACUUUUUCUUUAAAUUCUUUAAAUUUUUGUAGCACUUCAGAUUUUUCUUUAAUAAAGUAUACCCAGACGUACCUUGAGAAGUCAACAAUGAACGUCACCAUGUAGCGCAUGCCGCUAAUUGAUGAUUGCUUGACUGGUCCAAAAACAUCAGAGUGCACGAGCUCGAGCGGUACCUUGGCUCUAUAUUUAGAUUCAGUGUAGGGAAGUUGAUGAGCCUUACCAAACUGGCAUCCUGCGCAGAUUGUGUCUCCUCGUAUUUCAAGUUGAGGUAAGCCCUUAAGCAUACUGCGCUCCAUCAUGAUUUUCAGUUUGUGAUAGCCCACAUGUCCCAGUCUUGUAUGCCACAAAUCAGCAGUCUCACUUUUUCGAGUCUUUUCUACGUAUGCUGAUUCUGCAGACAUUACGUAUAUAGACUCUACUUUCUUUCCUUCCAUGAUUUGUAUACGAGAUAUCUUGGAACUGCGAAAUACCUUGACAUCUUGUGGCCCAAAUACUACACAAUUGCCCGAUGCAGUCAGUUGUGAUACUGAUAAGAGAUUUUUCUUCAUACCUGGGACAUGGUAGACUUUCUGUAGUUGUACUUGAUGUGGGCUGAAUUUGGGUGUGAUGAUUGUCUUUCCUAUGUGAGUGAUUGGCAGCUUCGAUUUGUUAGCUGUCACCACUACUCUUCCUCCUUUAUAUUCUGUUGUGCUGAGCAGCUUGUCUUUAUCACCGGUCAUAUGAUUGGAACAUCCAGAGUCGAUGAUCCAAUCUGUACUGUAAUUCACCUCUCUUGGAUUUUCUAUUGUUAUGAGUGCAUAUAUUGGUACCUGCUUUAGUAGCUUUUCCUUCUUAGCACCUGGCGUCAUUUCCUCCGUAGCAGUGUUUUCUGACCUUCGUUCUUCGAGAGCCUCUUCUUUGUUUAAGUGACAGUCUUCUUCUGACUCCAUGAUGGCGAAGGAGGCUUGAGCAUCCCACUCUUCUUCACUAUUGUAUGCUGCUUGGUGGUCACCUGAUGUUGCCAUAUUGCCUUGUGCUUGUUUCUUCAUGUGCCAACAGUCUCGGGCGAAGUGUCCUUUCUUGCCGCAAUUGUAACACUCUCUGCUUUGUCGUCUGUCGUAUUUAAACUGCCAGGUAUUUUGCUCCUUCUGGUUGUGGACUCCCCCUAUAAGGUGGCUCUCUCCCAACCUUUGUUUUAACCCACUGAACUCCUUCGGCAGCUUCAAAUUUCUUGGCCCUCCUGUUGCUCGACUUUUUCUUCUACUGCUAAAGAGUGCCUCCUCUUCAUUUUUCAUUGAGACUGCAGCCAUCUGUUUGGCUAGAGCCUCCUGAUUAGCCAGUAAAUUUUCUAGCUCCACCAACGUUGGUUGAGUGGGCCAUCCUCGAACAGCAGUAAUGAACCCGUUAUAUUCGGGUUUUAGGCCAUGAAUAAUAAUUCUCUUCAUCCGCUGGUCACUAAUUUUUGACUCUGGAUCUAAUUGGAAAAUUUCACGGCAGAGAGAUUUUACCUUCAUGAAGUACUGGCUAAUUGUCAUGCUGCCCUGAGAUAUCGUCAUCAGCUCAUUUUCCAGCAGUUGAAGUCGAGCAUCAUUCUUCUUUGAAAAUAACGAUGCGAGGGUGUCCCAUGCAGCCUUGGGUGUAUCUGCUUCCUUGAUAUGCUCCAGCAGCUCUUCUUCGAUUGUCGUCUUCGGGACGAACAUCGCCUUCCCUGCCUUGAUACGCCACUUUCUGAACACCUCUGCAUUCUCCUUUUGUGGUGAAGUUGUUUCAGCACCACCAAUUACCUCCCACAAAUCCUGCCCUUGUAGGUAAGACUCAAUGCAGGUUUGCCAAUAACCAAAAUUAUGGUUAUUUAGCUUCUUAAUUCCGCUAGUUGUACCAACAAGAUCUGCCAUAGUGACUUGGUGAUUGUCCAGCAGUCAACCAAGUAAGUCUGGUCCUAGAUCAACCAACUUCACAGUCCCAGACUGUGCACCAGCAGAAUCUCUGCUUAUAUCGGUAUUUAACUGCCUGGACUGGCAGAAUUUCACCGACUUAACUAGCAGAAUAUUUCCUACAAUCUGGCUCUGAUACCAAAUUGUAGAAUAUUGGCGUACCAAACUAAUAAUAAAACUCUCUUUAUUACACACAAAAUAACUCUCAUUCACAUACAUCCAUAAGACUACAAACCUCACACACUCACUUCACUACUUCACUACACCUCACAAUACUUCCUCACCUCACACCACCACUCACACCCUUACUUCACUAUAUCUCACUCUUCACUUUCACACUCUUGCACUCUCUCACUCUUGCACUCUCUCCAAGCACACAUGGUGUGGGAGCCUCACAUCUAUUUAUAGGCUUCCAACCUACCUACAUAAGCACUCUAGAAUAUUCUAGAGUACUUACUUCUAGAACUCACUAAAGUGCUCUAUUAGCAAGUAGAGAGCACUUUGUUCCUAAAGUUUUCUAGAAUGCUCCAUUAGCUAGUAGAGAAUUGGAAAGGGAUAGGGCAUU